UAGGGUGAAGUCGUAACAAGGUAGCCGUAGGAGAACCUGCGGCUGGAUCACCUCCUUUCUAAGGAAUAUU
rnacentral:rRNA from 1 species